UUAACUUCUGAGACUCCAGAACACUCCCAACUUUUUUGUGUGUUUUCCCAGGUCAAUCCUCAUAUUUGGCUUCCAAUAAACCUUUAUCAAACUAUUUCUGCUGGACAUGCACAGUGGCUCACACCUGUA